UUUUGUUUAUUGCAGGUUAUUGAUUACAAAAAUUAAAAAAAUAGUUGAGUUAAGCAAAGGGAAUUAAUUUAUGAUGGCGGAAACUACGAAUGGAAAGAUUCUCGAAGGGGAGAAUGAUUCAGAGCAGAGCGAUGAUGGUGAAGAAUAUUUUCCUGAUAGUGACAGUGAUGAUGAAGAGGAAUCUAUCGCAUCUGUAAAAGAAGUAAGGAUCAAAACAGAGCCAGUAUCUGAAGAAGAAUAUGAAGAUUCGCCAAUGAGGGAAGAGACGACUGGUUCUUCAUCAACUGCAAUACAAAAGCGUCAUUCUGGGCUGAACGUUGUGGUACCAUUUCACAGUCCCAAGAAGAAAUUGCGACCUAAUCCUGUAGCAGUGACAGAACACAUCUGGAAGAAAUCUUUUUCUGGAAGAGAAAUCGGGCCGUUUGGUGGUCAGCAAAUGGUUUGUAGUGGAGAAUUAGGCCGAAGAUCGACUCCUCUUGACUGUUUCUCGCAAUUUUUUGAUCCUGAAACAAUUAGAUUCAUCGUUGAUAUGACAAAUCUUAACGCUGUGAGAAAAGUACAGGGCGAUGAAACAGCGUCGUUUUUAAAAGCACAAUCCUCAAACGAUCCCGAUUUUUCCAUCAAAGUAGAAUGUGUAUCAAACGAAGAGAGUAAAAAUACUUGGAAGUUUGUUGAUUUGGAUGAAAUGAAUGCUUUUUUUGGACUUGUUAUACUCAUGGGAAUCAUUCGUCUCCCACAUGUAGAAAUGUACUGGCAAAAAAAGAACUGGAUUUUUGACAUACCAAGUUUCAAUAUGAUCAUGUCGAGAACCCGAUUUCAAAAUAUCCAAGAUCAUCUGCAUUUUUGUGAUGAAUCGUUGGCACCUCCACAUGAUGGUCCGGAAAAAGACAAGUUGUUUAAGAUUCGUGGACUCUUAGCACUUCUUUUGCCACAUUUCCAAAACUGCUACACUCCAGGAAGAGACCUUCACAUAAAUGAAACUUUGAUACCAAUCAGGGGCAAAAGUGCAUCUGGAAGAUACAUGGAUCGUGGAAAUUAUGGGAUCAAGCUCUGGCUUGUAACUGAAUCAUCAACGGGAUAUGUAUCUAAAUUACAAUUUUACACGGGAAAAAAUCAAGCUGUGAACCCGGAAAAUGGUUUAUCCUUGCGUGUUAUUAAAUAUUUGAUGAGUCCUUUCGAAGGGCUAAACCACCAUUUAUAUGUGGACAAUUUUUAUACAAAUCCUGAAGUGUUUGAAUACCUACUAUCGAAAGGAAUAUAUGCUUGCGGCACAUUUAACAGUGACUGUGUGGGAUUUCCAAAAGAUCUUAUAAUGAAACAGACUUGUAAAAUGGGUGAAAGUGAUUGGCGAGCAGCAGGAAAUUUAUUGGCCCAGUCGUGGAUGGACAAUAAGGCUUUGUAUUUUUUGUCAACCAUUCACAAACCUGAUUAUGACGUAGGUCAUUCCGGAAAAACAAUUACAAAAAGGAGAAGGGGUCAUACAAUAUAUGGGACUGUUGAAACACCAUGCCCCCCUCUAGUGAGAGAAUAUAAUAUGCAAACUGGACGUUUGGGUCUAUCGGAUCAAGUACGAAAAUAUGGUAACAUAGCGAAACGAUCCAAGGUCUGGUACAGAAAAGUCUUUGCAUAUUUGAUCGAGGUGGCUAUUAAUAAUGCUAAGGUAGUCCAUGAAAAGGUGACUGGAGAGCAAACUGAAGGUUUAGAAUUUAGGCAAAUCCUUGUGACCGCUCUGAUUGGGAACCAUAGAGCUCCUCGAAAUACCCCAACUACAGUUUCUAUAUCUCUUGCCAGGCUCCAAGAUGCUGGCAUUCAUCACCCAGUGUCCACAGAAGAACAACGGGUAUGUUUAGUGUGUUCCAAAAAAGAUCAGUUGGCUCCUGUACAUAGAAAAUCAACUACCGUUUCACGAACAACUGUGCGGUGUAGCGAAUGCAAUGUUCACCUAUGUGUGCGCAACGGCAGAACUUGCUUCCGGGAUUGGCACACCAAGGUUGAAUAUUGGAAAGGAAAAUGAGUUUUAUAUUCACAUUUGAAUGUAAUUUUUAUCAAACACCUUCGAUUUAUUUGCAGCUUGUUUUACAUACGUUAGGACUUAGGGUUAGGCUACCUCGUAGGGUUUUAUCAUUUUAAAAAUUUGCGAUAUAUAUUGGAAAAUGGGUACUCCUGAAGUAUACGCACCAAGAUGUCGCAUAACCUGAACUGUAACCUGGUACACAACAUGAGUUCAGGUUGUGCGCCAUCUUGGUAUGCAUACUUCAGGAGGUCCGGAAAAUGUAAUGUAAAAUUGGCGAACUCAACUAAAUUAACAACUAAUCAAAACCUGUGAAGAAUUACAUAAAGAUAAGUAUUUAGUGAACAUGUAUAUAACAAGUUGUCCUACCAUAAGUCAAACACUUUUAAGUUAGUUCUCAUUGCGAUCUACUCAAAUUUCAUAAAUCAUAUCCUGGGGAUUAAAUUAACAUUUACUAACUACUGUACACAUUUCUAUCUGCUACUUUUUAAUGUAUUUGUACUCAAUUUUUUAUUAUUAUUCAUGUGUUUUGUGCCAUUUGAUGCCCGUACGUACGUAUUAAAGCAUGCUCAAAAACAUUUUCUUGGGGUAUGUUUUAUAUAUAUCGGGCUUUAAGUAUAUUUCAUAAAGCAGGGCUACUCAACUAUUUUUACCAAAGAUUCUUAUAUGGGACCUAAAAAUUACUGAGAUUUGGUCCUUUCAGAAAAUAGAUUUCAAAGUUCGUCUAAAUAUAUUUUGGUGCCUCUAACUUAUAGUGAUAAAAUAACCUAAAAUUAUAAAUAAAAGGUAACCUUCACAAUGUUUACAUAUCUAAAGUUAAUGGCGUCAAGGCACCAAAAUAAAGAAUCAGAUUCAGUCCGAAUCGGAUUCUCGAAAGGUCUGGAUUUGGACCGCAGUCCACCAGUUGAGUAGCCCUAUCAUAUAGUAUCAGAGUAGAGGUGUUGUGGGGAAAUAUUUCUAAUUUUGGGCCCUGGUUCAUAUUAUGGCCUAACCUAUUACACCUACUACGUUCCGGUGUCCGCCAUCUUGGUUCACAUACUUUAGGAGUAUCGUUUUGGUUCGUGAAAGCUUGCCAAGGGUUACAGAAUAUUUUAAGAAUGCGAUAUAAAAACUUUUACACUGAAAAAUUUGAUAACAGUGUGUAUCAGGUUGAGACUUUUCAUAUUUACUGCGUGGAGGAGGAAUGCCAAUGAGAUCCCUCAGUCAUAUGGCAUGUCAUUCUAGGUAUUCAUUUUCAGAUGUAUGGACUGGAUAAUGGAGGUUAUAACUGACCAGCAGUAACAUGAACUACAUUACGACAGUGACGAUUUAGCAAUCUUCUUCAACAUAAUUAUCUCCUACAGAAUUUAAUCCAGCGAAUCUGUGCAAAUUAUCACUUUCAAGAGGCACUGGGCACUGAAAUAAAAAUAUAACAUGCAUGGACUAACAUUGAAUGACAAAAAAUAUGUGAAUAUUAAUUGGUUUUGCUAUAUUGAAGAAAAAUGCCAUGAAUGAUUGUAAUUUUUUUAAAUAUCUGUAUGUUCAUUUUCACCUAAUUGUCGUUGGUCAAUGUUAGUGAGACAAUUUGUUUCAUAAGCUUGUCCAUGACCUUAUAUUUUAAUUGAUUAUGAAUGAAAAUUCUGUUCAUAGAAAAACUAGUUCCAGAAAAUUAGUUAAGGGAAACAUAAAUUAAUUAUGAUGAAGGAAUCUGUGAAUGGAAAUAUUAGUGAAGAAGAGAAUGAUUCAGAGCAGAGUGAUGAUGAUGGAGAAUACUUUCCUGAUAGUGAUGAUGAAGAGGAAUCUGU